rnacentral:tRNA from 1 species
AAGGGCUUAGCUUAAUUAAAGUGUUUGUUUUGCACACAGGCGAUGUAAGAUUAUAAACUUGCAGUCCUUA